CAUCGCCUGCUAUUGGAGAGCGAGUCACAAAUCUCAAACAUGGCGAGACCUUUGUACAAAAACCGUCGCCCUAUCGAAUACCACCUCCUCCACUGCCCGCGAUUACACUCGCCGCACUGCACUAUGCUCUCAACUAUCAGCCUGCAGUCACAACACUCCACCUGGCUGCCUCAGGUGUCUAUACAUCACGACAACUAGCUGUCAUCCGCCUCUCCUAUCUUUUUGUGAUAGUCUCCCAGGAUUUCGCCCGGGCCCAUGAGGAUCAUUAUAUCAUCGCUUUCCUAAUAGCAACAACAAUAACAAGCCAUUACACAGCUUUUCCAGCAAGGAACUCUUGACGCUCAUUUCAGCAGUGAGGGUAAGGUGGGACAUAGUUGUUGCCUCACUCCUAUCCCGCACGAUGGAGCAAGCGUGGGACGCAGUGACAGCUGGUCAACGCUGAGUAGUAUUGUAAGGAACAUCACUGAAGUCAUCAACAAGUUCAUUGAUAUCAAGGAGAAAAAAAUGGAUAACUUAACAGGGAACACAGCUGCUGAUGAAGAGCUGCCACAUGCUGACACCUACCUUGCUGUAUUGCAGAGAGAUCUGCAUGCUCCAGGCAGAAUUGUGCAGCAGGAAAUCAUACAACACUUUUCCAGCAAUAAAAUUGCUGGUAAGCUUCAGCCAUCUGCUGAUUAGACACUGCCAUCUGUUGAAGCACCUGAGAUAUCUACUGUAGAGCAAACCCCUGCUCCUGCUGCACCAUCACCAGCUCGUCCACACUGAACCUAAUCUGCUGCUGGAUUUCCAGCACUUGAAGCACAAACUCAAACUCUGUGCACUACCUGUAAUAAAGUUUAGAACAAAACAUGGCUUUGUGCUAUAAGUUACAAAAUAAAUAUGUUAAAUU